AUUGAACGCUGGCGGCAGGCCUAACACAUGCAAGUCGGACGGUAGCACAGAGGAGCUUGCUCCUCGGGUGACGAGUGGCGGACGGGUGAGUAAUGUCUGGGGAUCUGCCCGAUAGAGGGGGAUAACCACUGGAAACGGUGGCUAAUACCGCAUAACGUCGCAAGACCACAGAGGGGGAACGUCGGGCCUCUCACUAUCGGAUGAACCCAGAUGGGAUUAGCUAGUAGGCGGGGUAAUGGCCCACCUAGGCGACGAUCCCUAGCUGGUCUGAGAGGAUGACCAGCCACACUGGAACUGAGACACGGUCCAGACUCUUACGGGAGGCAGCAGUGGGGAAUAUUGCACAAUGGGCGCAAGCCUGAUGCAGCCAUGCCGCGCGUAUGAAGAAGGCCUUCGGGUUGUAAAGUACUUUCAGCGGGGAGGAAGGCGGUGAGGUUAAUAACCUUGCCGAUUGACGUUACCCGCAGAAGAAGCACCGGCUAACUCCGUGCCAGCCGCCGCCGUAA
rnacentral:rRNA from 1 species